rnacentral:lncRNA from 1 species
CGGCCCCGCAGCGGCACCAGGAACCUGUACCUGGCCCGGGAGGGGGGUGAGUCCGUGCCCCCCAGCCUUCCCUGACCCCCCAGUGUCCCCGUUCUCCUGAGGACCCCCAACUCCUGUUUGUCCCCAAAUCCCCCAACCCCUCAUUCCCUCUGCCCCCAGCUCUUCUCAAACCCUUCCCAAAGCCCCCUGACCCCCCCGUCUUUUCCCCACCACAUUUCUCUGAUCCCCCCAACCCCUAUUCCCUGCCCCAAAUGUCUGCCCGGGCUCUCCCAUUAUCCCCUGCCCCCCCCAGAUUGCCAAAAUUAUCCCAUUUCCCCAUUCCCAGCCAUGCACCUGGGCUCCCCCAUACCCCUGAUCCCCCCAAAGCCCCACCCAAAUCCCCUGAUCCCCAGUUUCCAUCCCAGCCAUCCACCUUGGCUCCCCUAUUCCCCCAAAUUUCCUGCCCCCCCAGAUUCCCAAAAUUAUCCCAUGUCCCCAUUCCCAGCCAUGCACCUGGGCUCCCCCAUUCCCCUGAGCCCCCAAAGCCCCCCCAAAUCCCCCCAGCCCCCUGACCCCCAUUCCCUUCACAGCCAUCCGCCCGGGCUCCCGCGCUGCCGAGGGCGUCAGCGAGUCGGACAUGGCCAAGCGUGCGCGGUUCGAGGAGCUGAAGCGGCGGCGGCUGCAGGACCCCAACGUGGGCGUGUCGCGGACGCGGCUGUGCCUGCACAACCUGCCCAAGGCGCUGGACUCGGCGCGGCUGCGCGCCCUGCUGCGGGGCACGCUGCGGGGCGCGGGCCGCCCCGCACCCCUCAUCAAGGAGUGCCGGGUGAUGCGGGAGCUUCGGGGCCAGGGCCAAUCUUUGGGGUUUGCCUUCGUGGAGUUCGGGGAGCACGAGGAGGCCCUGGGGGCCCUGCGGCGCCUCAACAACAACCCCGACCUCUUUGGGCCCCAAAAGCGCCCGAUCGUGGAGUUCGCGCUGGAGGACCGGCGGAAGCUGCGGCUGCGGGAGCAGCGGAUCCAGCGGGGGCUGCUCAAGGCCAAGGCCAAGGCGGCCGCGGGACCCCCAAAGCCGGCCCAGGGAGCCCCGGACCCCCCCCAGGGGCAGCCAGACCCCCCCGCAGGCUCGGGGGGCCCCCCCGGCCGCCCCCCAGCCCCCCCCGGGGCCGCCCCCAGGGAACCCCUGGGCCGGGUUCCGCACGCAGGGCCCGGGGUCCCGGGGGGCUCCCGGCGCCCCCCGCACCAAGGUGCUGGCACUGCCCUCCCACCGCGGCCCCAAGAUCAGGAAACGGGACAAGGGGAAGGCUCAGCCCCCGCCCAAGCCCCCCAAAGCCCCCAAGGCCUCUCGGCGGCGGGAGAAGCUCCGGGUGCCCGCCCCCCAGACCCAGCGGCGGCGCCGGGGCGGCCCCAGGGGGGCCGAGGCGCGGUUCCAGGAGCUGGUGGAGAGGUACAAGAGGAAGAUUUUGGGGAGCAACCCCCCCACGGCCCGGGGGGGCAAGUGGUUCGAGAGCUGAGCCUCCCCCAGCGCCCCAAAACCCCCCGGCACCCCAAAAACCCCCGGGGGUGCCGCAGGUCCCAAACCUCACAGGGGGGGUUUGGGGUUUUUGCUGCCCCCAUGUGCUCUGGGGGGGGUUUUGGGGGGACCCAGCCCUGGGUCCCCCCUGGUUCCCCCCAGCAUUUGGGGGUACUCCCCCCAUGUCUCUGUGUCUUCCUGGGUUUUAAUAAAAAUGGGAUUUUUGAGGAAAAUUUGACCUCCUGGUGCCGGCCCCCACCUCGGGGACCCCAAAACAUCUCCCGUGGGGGCCCCAGGGAGGUGUGGUGGAGACCGCCGUGGGGCGACUGGGGGCUCCUGUGAGUUUCGGAUGGGUCCCCCCUGUGUCCCUGCAACCUCUGCAGGUCCCAGCUGAGUCACGGUGGCCCCUGUGGGUGUGACCUGGGGGUGACGCUGCCCCACAGCCACCCACGGCCACCCUCUCCCGGGUGUCCCCACCGUGGGGCCGGGGGAGGCGGGGGAGACCCGGAGGGGCCAGGCCAGCGCUGCAGGGGACAGAGUGACACUGUCAGUGACACCCGUGUGUGACACGUGGCGUCCCCGUGCCCCAUCCCUGUCCCCCCUGUCCCCCUCUCCUUGUGUCCCUGUCUCUUUCGCCUUUGCUGGGGGUCCCAGCCAGCCCCGUGUCCCCCCCUGGGCUGGAGGUGUCGGGGUCACACCAGGCCGGGGGAUGGCAAAGCCACCAGCGAGUCAUCAGCUGCCACUGAGUCACCGGGGCCGUGUCCCCGCGUCACCCUGGCCCGGGGGAGAUCCCAGGGCCCCGCUGUCCCUUGUCCCCGGCUGCCCCCGUGUCCCGGGGGUCCCUUGUCCCCGGGUGCCCCUGUGACACUGCGGAUCCCAUUUGCAGGGGAGUCCCUCGUCCCCAUGUGGCCGCUGUCCCAAAGGUCCCGUGUCCCCAGGGGUGUCCCUUGUCCCAGGGGUGUCCCUUGUCCCCAGGGGUGUCCCAUGUCCCCAGAGUCAUCAGAGACACGAGUGAGACUGUUGGAAAAGGAGCUUUAAAUUAAAUAAAUUAAUAAUAGUAAUAAUAAUAACA